GACGAACGCUGGCGGCGUGCCUAAUACAUGCAAGUCGAACGCACUCUCGUUUAGAUUGAAGGAGCUUGCUCCUGAUUGAUAAACAUUUGAGUGAGUGGCGGACGGGUGAGUAACACGUGGGUAACCUGCCCUAAAGUGGGGGAUAACAUUUGGAAACAGAUGCUAAUACCGCAUAAAACCUAACACCGCAUGGUGUAGGGUUGAAAGAUGGUUUCGGCUAUCACUUUAGGAUGGACCCCGCGGUGCAUUAGUUAGUUGGUGAGGUAAAGGCUCACCAAGACCGUGAUGCAUAGCCGACCUGAGAGGGUAAAUCGGCCACACUGGGACUGAGACACGGCCCAGACUCCUACGGGAGGCAGCAGUAGGGAAUCUUCCACAAUGGACGAAAGUCUGAUGGAGCAACGCCGCGUGAGUGAAGAAGGUUUUCGGAUCGUAAAACUCUGUUGUUGGAGAAGAAUGUAUCUGAUAGUAACUGAAUCAGGUAGUGACGGUAUCCAACCAGAAAGCCAGG
rnacentral:rRNA from 1 species